rnacentral:lncRNA from 1 species
CUGACGGAGCCGAAGUACAGAAACCAUACUUACAGGUACAUGUGACAGCACUGCAGCUAUGAGUGGAAUUUUAAAGGGGAAGUUGGAAGAAAUUGACGGCUCCUCACCCUGCUCCUCUGUGUGGGAAUCCGAUGAUGAAGUUUUUAGCUGUGACGGUGCUGACAGUGUCGAUAGUGUCACUUCAUCCACUUCUAAUCAUUUUACCCGAAAAACUAAGGAGAUAUCAACAGACUGAAAACAUGUUUUCUGAGGCAUAAGGUCUUCAGGAAGACACUGGCAUUUGUGAAAUUUCAAGGUUAGCAGUUCUUAAUUAUUUUCAAACCUUUACAACACUGAAAUAUAACUGUGUAACUGUUCCAAGUUGUUACUGCUAAUAUGUACCUGAAGUAUGCUUAUUUAUAAUAAAUUAUCCUUAUGUUUUAAAAAAAUUUAUUCAAACCAGAA